rnacentral:rRNA from 1 species
UACGUAGGGUGCAAGCGUUAAUCGGAAUUACUGGGCGUAAAGCGUGCGCAGGCGGCUAUGCAAGACAGAUGUGAAAUCCCCGGGCUCAACCUGGGAACUGCAUUUGUGACUGCAUAGCUAGAGUACGGUAGAGGGGGAUGGAAUUCCGCGUGUAGCAGUGAAAUGCGUAGAUAUGCGGAGGAACACCGGUGGCGAAGGCGACCGCCUGGACGAAUACUGACGCUGAGGCGCGAGAGCGUGGGGAGCAAACAGG